ensembl:lncRNA novel transcript
AUUCUCCUGCGUCAGCCUCCCGAGUAGCUGGGACUGCAGGCGCCCGACACGACGCCCAGCUAAUUUUUUGUGUUUUUAGUAGAGACGGGGGUUUCACCGUGUUAGCCAGGAUGGUCUGGAUCUCCUGACCUCGUGAUCCGCCCGCCUCGGCCUCCCAAAGUGCUGGGAUUACAGGCGUGAGCCACCGCGCCCGGCCCCUCAUAAGGGAAAGAGUUGUAGAACUGCAGCUUUUGGCUGUUCUCCAGGACUGGUGGGCAACUGUGGCAAGUGAAAAAUAGAACUUAUGCACUUCUUGGAUAAUUCUCUUGGAUGGCCUUCUAUUAAUUUUCUGGGAGAAAACUCAUGGCAUCAUAACGUCAGCUUCCCCCAAUAUUUUUCUACUUUGGAUAGGAGGACUACCUCUCAGCAUUUCCUGUAAUGGCAUUACACAGCCAUUUUGGGAGAACCAGAAGGCAAGGAACCAAGGGACACUUACAGGAGCUGAAGGCAACUUCCAACCAACCUCCAGCAAGAAGUCAGGCUUUCAGUCAUACAAUCACAAGGAAAUGAAUUGUUCCAUCAACCUGAG